rnacentral:rRNA from 1 species
AGCGAACGCUGGCGGCAGGCCUAACACAUGCAAGUCGAACGGACCCUUCGGGGUUAGUGGCGAACGGGUGAGUAACACGUGGGAACGUGCCCUUUGGUUCGGAACAACUCAGGGAAACUUGAGCUAAUACCGAAUGUGCCCUUCGGGGGAAAGAUUUAUCGCCAUUGGAGCGGCCCGCGUCUGAUUAGCUAGUUGGUGGGGUAAUGGCCUACCAAGGCUACGAUCAGUAGCUGGUCUGAGAGGAUGAUCAGCCACAUUGGGACUGAGACACGGCCCAAACUCCUACGGGAGGCAGCAGUGGGGAAUCUUGCGCAAUGGGCGAAAGCCUGACGCAGCCAUGCCGCGUGAAUGAUGAAGGUCUUAGGAUUGUAAAAUUCUUUCACCGGGGACGAUAAUGACGGUACCCGGAGAAGAAGCCCCGGCUAACUUCGUGCCAGCAGCCGCCGUAACAC